rnacentral:misc_RNA from 1 species
CAGAGUUGUAAAACUCCCAAACCCAUGUGAACAUACCCUGUUGCCUCGGUGGCCUACCCGGUAGCUACCCUGUAGCUACCCUGCUAGUCCGCCGGUAGGAAUUCAAAACUCUUGUUUUCAGUUGUCAUCUCUGAGAAUAAAACAAAUAAAUCA